GCCGAGCGUGGUGGCCCAUGCCUGUAAUCCCAGUGGCUUAGGAGGCUGAGGCAGGAGGAUCCCGAGUUCAAAGCCAGCCUCAG
rnacentral:sRNA from 1 species